ensembl:lncRNA
UUUUUCUGUAGUAUUGUAUACUGUAGUAGGCCUGCAGUGCAUUGUGGGCUGUAUCAUGUACUAUAAACACAUUGUAUGGCUUUGAACACGGGGCUUUCUGUGGUGAUUGUGUUUUGCUUGUUCUCCCCUUUCCCUUCGGUGUUCUCCUGUGUGUUUGUGUGUGGCUGGCUGGUGGUUGUGUAGCAGUAUAGAGCUGCCACCCUUUGGGCAAUUAACGCCAGGUGGCUGCAAUUAGGUGGGCCGGUUUAAAAGUGGCACGCCUCCACUAGCUCUUCCUCUUGCCCUCUAUUCUGUGAGGUGCGUCAGUUCCGGGCGACGGGACGCGUGCCGCUCUGCGCGUUAACCUCUUGGUUUACUGCAUGCUCAAAACAUCACAGCAUUGUUUAUUAAGGCUGCUCACCUCGCAUUUAUCUUUUUAUUUACAGGCCAAAGAAAAAGCCCCUCAAAGCGUUUUAACACAAAGACGGGAAAUUUGUGCAAUAGAACUAGGCAUGUUUUUGUAAAUGAGAGUAGAGUUUUUAAAAACCAUUUUAAUUCUUUAAGGGAGCAAAGAUGUCUCAUAAAAGACCUUUGCCAGGCUCAGGACAAAAGGGAAGUCUGUUAUUAUUUUUAAAGAACCAGCCAAGUCAUAAAAGACAGACCGACACUGUCAGACCAAAUUGUAGAAACAACAGGGCAACAGACAGAGGAGCAACACACAGGAGAAACUGACCAACAGUGCAGAUGGAAGAAGACCCAGAGGGACAGAGGAGACUCCCCCAAUCCAACAACCGGGCCAGAAGAGCAACAUAUAGAACCCUCUUUAAAGUGAGUGGACCUCCACAUGGCCCUUUAUUACAAGAGGGAGCCUCAACACGCACUGCUGGUGUGCAGUGUGCCGUAUUGAGAACUCAUGUUGCCACCAGGGUGCGACCGAUGUAGUGCGCCACAUACAAACUAAAGGCCACCAAGAAAAGCAACAAGCUCUUCAGUCCACAGCCACAAUAUACAAUGUUGGAGGGUUUUCUGCACAAGAGGUCAAGGUAUGAUGUGUGUAAUAGUGCUGUCCAGGUUCAGUCAAGAGUUUUGUGUCCUAGUUGAAUACGGUAAAUUCAUGGUUGAUAGUUUUGACUAAUUUUUGGUUUGUAUUACAGUCCAACUUUCUUAAUUUAAGAUCUUUGUUGCUGAAUGUGUUUUUUCCCUUUGCCUUAUUAUGACAGGUGUCUAUUUGAAAUAAACUAUGGUCUUUUGGGAAGAUUAAUAAUUUUUAUUUUCUUACAGACAAGAAGGGCUGAGGUCCAAAUGACAGCUGGGUUGGUGGUGCAUGAUAUUCCUCUAGCCUUUGCAGACCACCUGGGGCCUCUCCUUAAAGUUUGUUUUGGAGAUUCUAAGACGGCGCAGGACUACAGGUGUGCCAGGACUAAAUCAUCCUGCAUAGUUAAUGAAGCUCUGGCGCCUUAUUUCACCAAAGAGCUUGUGAAGGAGCUCAAAAACGGCGCAUGCACCCUUGUUACGGAUGGGUCAAAUGACACGGGUAUUUCCCAAACUAUUUAUCUCCUACAAAACAUUUGCUUUGUGUAAACAUCAAACAUGUACAUUUGUAUAAUUCUAACUCGUCAUUAUGGGAGCGCAAAAGAUGAACCCGCUCACUGUCUGGGUCUUCAUGGGAGGCAAAGUUGUCGACCAAUGUUUGGGCAUGUGUACAACAAGUGGGAAGUUGCUGGAGCCUGGUGGUGCUGGUGGCCGGGUGGUGGUGUCCUACCCAUUAGUUUGCGGUGUCCUGGGAAGACAAGGCACACCGGCAUCCAAUCCUUCUAAUCAUCCUCCUCCAUAUAAGCCUGGGCGUCUCAUCACUUCGACGCCAGAUUAUUCCGUCCGCUACGGUAGCAAGGGAUUAGCAGGAUACUCGACCUCGUUGUCUUUUUGGAUGUACACUAACCUUGUUGCUUUCUUCACUCAGAACUCUCGUGUGCCCCCUCGCUCGGCUCUUCAUCCUCCCCGUUGCCAGGAUCCACCAGCCAGCCAAUAAACUCUGUUUGUAUACCCUACUACAAACCACUGUCUGCUUUGGGGUCCGAACCUUCACUUCAACGUAACUAUUUAUUGGUGAAUAGUUUACUGACUG